rnacentral:lncRNA from 1 species
CAUCACAAAGUAUUUCAAACAAGGUAAGACCGGAUGGACAUAUGCACUCUAUUUUAAAGUUUACCACAAAGUAAACAGUGAGUAAUCUUCACGGGCUGGCAGGUGUGGCACAUUUGUUGCUAAUGUGUCUCAAUGCAGUAAACAGAUGUGAGACAGGUCCUGCUUGGAGGAGUGCACUGCAUUUACAGCUCAGAGUGAACGGUGCCAAAAUCUGCAUUCAGCAUGAGGUUCUCGGGGCUGCCAAGGUGUAUUCAGGUGCGUCUGGGCCUUGCUGA